GGGUUCAUUUGGAGCUCUCUUCAAAGAGGGUUUCUUCGAUUGAGGGGGGAGAGACUGCUGUCGAUCUCUCUGACUCUGAUUAGUAGUAGCAAAGAGAAAAAAGCGCAAAAACAAAUUGAAUUUUUUCUGAAAUUCGAAGUUCAAAUCCAAUUCUUUCCUCUCUGAACGACCCCAAAACUUCGCUUUCAAUCUCUUCAACUUGCUUUAGGGCUUUUCUUUCUGAACUUCGAUCGCCAUGGAUUUGCGAUUCCCUUACUCUCCGGCAGAGGUUGCCAAAGUCAGAAUGGUUCAGUUUGGCAUUCUUAGUCCCGACGAGAUUAGGCAAAUGUCCGUGGUACAGAUUGAGCACGGUGAAACCACAGAGAGGGGUAAGCCAAAAGUAGCUGGUUUGAGUGACCCACGACUUGGUACAAUCGACAGAAAAAUGAAGUGUGAAACUUGCACUGCAAAUAUGGCUGAGUGUCCUGGGCACUUUGGGCACCUCGAGCUUGCCAAACCAAUGUUCCAUAUUGGGUUUAUGAAGACCGUGCUCACUAUUAUGCGUUCUGUGUGCUUCAAUUGCUCAAAGAUUCUAGUUGACGAGGAAGACCCUAAGUUUAAACAAGCAUUGCGAAUAAAGAAUCCUAAGAAUAGGCUUAGAAAGAUUUUGGAUGCCUGCAAGAACAAAACCAAGUGUGAGGGUGGCGAUGAAAUCGAUGUUCAAGGUCAAGAUUCAGAUCAACCAGUCAAAAAGAGUCGGGGUGGCUGUGGUGCUCAGCAGCCUAAGAUCUCAAUUGAGGGUAUGAAGAUGACUGCAGAGUACAAGGCCCAAAGGAAAAAAAAUGAUGAUCCGGAGCAGCUGCCUGAGCCUGUGGAAAGAAAACAAACACUUACUGCUGAAAGGGUUCUUGGCAUUCUGAAAAGAAUAACUGAUGAGGAUUGCAAACUCUUGGGCCUCAAUCCAAAGUAUGCUCGGCCUGACUGGAUGAUUCUGCAAGUCCUUCCAAUUCCGCCUCCUCCUGUGAGACCAUCAGUUAUGAUGGACACCUCAUCUAGAAGUGAGGACGACCUAACUCAUCAGUUGGCAAUGAUUAUAAGGCACAACGAAAACCUCAGGAGACAAGAGAGAAAUGGUUCUCCUGCACAUAUCAUUUCAGAGUUUGCGCAACUACUGCAGUUUCAUAUAGCCACAUAUUUUGAUAAUGAAUUACCUGGACUACCCAGGGCCACACAGAGAUCUGGGAGACCCAUUAAAUCCAUUUGUAGCAGGCUCAAGGCAAAGGAAGGUCGGAUAAGAGGAAAUUUGAUGGGAAAACGUGUAGAUUUUUCAGCACGAACCGUUAUAACACCUGAUCCAACCAUUAAUAUUGAUGAACUGGGGGUACCUUGGAGUAUUGCUUUGAAUCUUACGUAUCCAGAGACUGUGACACCAUAUAAUAUAGAAAGGUUAAAGGAACUUGUUGAAUAUGGACCCCAUCCUCCACCUGGUAAAACUGGUGCCAAGUACAUCAUACGAGAUGAUGGGCAGAGGCUUGAUCUUCGUUAUCUUAAAAAAAGUAGUGAUCAUCAUUUGGAGCUUGGGUACAAGGUGGAGCGUCAUUUAAACGAUGGUGAUUUUGUACUUUUUAAUCGUCAGCCUAGUCUCCAUAAAAUGUCUAUUAUGGGACACAGAAUCAAGAUCAUGCCCUACUCAACUUUCCGUCUAAAUUUAUCUGUCACAUCACCUUACAAUGCUGAUUUUGAUGGUGAUGAAAUGAAUAUGCAUGUUCCUCAGUCAUUUGAGACAAGGGCAGAAGUAUUGGAACUCAUGAUGGUUCCCAAAUGCAUUGUGUCACCUCAGUCGAACCGUCCUGUAAUGGGUAUAGUGCAAGAUACUCUCCUAGGAUGCCGUAAAAUUACAAAAAGGGACACCUUUAUAACGAAGGAUGUUUUCAUGAAUACUUUGAUGUGGUGGGAGGAUUUUGACGGGAAAAUUCCUGCCCCUGCGAUUUUAAAGCCACAACCUCUUUGGACGGGAAAGCAAGUUUUUAAUCUUAUUAUACCAAAGCAGAUUAAUCUCACGAGAACUUCUGCCUGGCAUUCUGAAUCCGAAACUGGACACAUAACUCCUGGAGAUACUUUUGUUAGGAUUGAGAAGGGGGAGCUACUUUCUGGAACACUUUGCAAGAAGGCACUUGGAACUUCAACUGGAAGUCUUAUACAUGUUAUUUGGGAGGAGGUUGGUCCGGAUGCAGCCCGAAAAUUUCUGGGUCAUACUCAGUGGCUCGUCAAUUACUGGCUUUUGCAGAAUGCUUUUAGCAUUGGGAUUGGGGAUACAAUUGCUGAUGCAGCAACCAUGGAGAAAAUUAAUGAAACUAUCUCUGCUGCUAAAAACGAAGUGAAAAACCUUAUAAAGAAAGCCCAAGAACGGAGUUUAGAGCCUGAACCUGGACGAACAAUGAUGGAUUCAUUUGAAAACAAAGUGAAUCAAGUCCUGAAUAAGGCUCGUGACGAUGCUGGUAGUAGUGCGCAAAAAAGUUUGUCAGAGAGUAACAAUUUGAAAGCUAUGGUCACUGCAGGAUCCAAGGGAAGUUUUAUCAACAUCUCCCAGAUGACUGCUUGUGUGGGGCAGCAGAAUGUUGAAGGGAAGCGAAUACCAUUUGGUUUCAUUGAUCGAACAUUGCCCCAUUUCACUAAAGAUGAUUAUGGGCCUGAAAGUCGUGGCUUUGUUGAGAACUCAUAUCUUCGAGGUUUGACUCCACAGGAGUUCUUUUUUCAUGCUAUGGGUGGUAGGGAAGGUCUUAUUGAUACUGCAGUCAAGACCUCUGAAACAGGGUACAUACAGAGGAGGCUGGUGAAGGCCAUGGAGGAUAUUAUGGUUAAAUAUGAUGGGACUGUUAGAAACUCAUUGGGUGAUGUUAUUCAGUUUCUUUAUGGUGAAGAUGGUAUGGACGCUGUUUGGAUCGAAUCUCAGAAACUCGAUUCUUUGAAAAUGAAGAAAAAGGAAUUUGAGAGGAUCUUCAGGUAUGAGUUUGAAGAUGAAAACUGGAAGCCAAAUUACAUGUUGCCAGAGCAUGUAGAAGAUUUGAAAACCAUCAGAGAAUUCCGCAAUGUGUUUGAGGCUGAAGUUCAAAAGCUUGAAGCGGACAGGUAUCAAUUAGGAACAGAAAUUGCAACUACAGGUGAAAACUCUUGGCCAAUGCCAGUUAACCUGAAAAGGCUAAUUCAGAAUGCACAGAAAACUUUCAAGAUUGACUUUCGAAGGGCUUCUGACAUGCAUCCUAUGGAAAUUGUUGAAGCUAUUGACAAACUUCAAGAGAGGCUGAAGGUUGUUCCUGGUGAAGAUCCUCUAAGUGUGGAGGCUCAAAAGAAUGCCACCCUUUUCUUCAAUAUAUUACUCCGAAGCACUUUUGCUAGCAAAAGGGUUUUGGAUGAAUACAGGCUUACCCGUGAAGCAUUUGAGUGGGUUAUUGGAGAAAUAGAAUCACGCUUCCUUCAGUCACUAGUAGCACCUGGUGAAAUGAUUGGCUGUGUUGCUGCACAGUCCAUUGGAGAGCCGGCAACUCAGAUGACUCUUAAUACCUUCCAUUAUGCUGGUGUUAGUGCGAAGAAUGUCACUCUUGGUGUUCCCAGAUUGAGGGAAAUCAUUAAUGUAGCCAAGAGAAUCAAAACACCUUCUCUUUCUGUCUAUCUAAAACCCGAAGCUAAUAAAACCAAGGAAAGGGCGAAGACUGUUCAAUGUGCUUUGGAGUAUACUACUCUUAGAAGUGUUACACAAGCGACGGAAGUAUGGUACGAUCCUGACCCCAUGAGCACGAUUAUUGAAGAGGACAUUGAUUUUGUAAAAUCCUAUUAUGAGAUGCCAGAUGAGGAAAUUGCUCCUGAGAAAAUCUCCCCAUGGUUGCUUCGAAUAGAGUUGAAUCGUGAAAUGAUGGUCGAUAAGAAACUAAGCAUGGCGAAUAUUGCCGAGAAGAUCAACCUUGAAUUUGACGACGAUUUGACUUGCAUAUUUAAUGAUGAUAAUGCUGAGAAGCUGAUACUUCGUAUCCGUAUCAUGAAUGAUGAAGCUCCAAAGGGGGAGUUGACUGAUGAAUCAGCUGAAGACGAUGUGUUCUUGAAGAAAAUUGAGAGUAAUAUGCUAACUGAAAUGGCUCUUCGAGGAAUACCAGACAUCAACAAGGUUUUCAUUAAAUGUGGUAAAGUGAAUAAGUUUGAUGAGAAUGAGGGUUUUAAACCAGAGAUGGAGUGGAUGUUGGAUACAGAAGGUGUCAAUCUUUUAGCCGUCAUGACACAUGAAGAUGUUGAUGCGAGGAGGACCACAAGCAACCAUUUGAUUGAAGUUAUUGAAGUUCUUGGAAUUGAAGCAGUUCGGCGUUCUCUUCUGGAUGAAUUGCGUGUUGUUAUAUCCUUUGAUGGUUCUUAUGUUAAUUACAGACAUCUUGCCAUCCUUUGUGACACCAUGACUUAUCGUGGCCACUUGAUGGCUAUUACUCGUCAUGGUAUUAAUAGAAAUGAUACUGGACCAAUGAUGAGAUGCUCAUUUGAAGAAACUGUGGAUAUCUUACUUGAUGCUGCAGUAUAUGCUGAAACUGACCACUUAAGGGGUGUAACUGAAAAUAUAAUGUUGGGUCAGCUGGCUCCCAUAGGAACAGGAGGCUGUGCUCUGUAUCUCAACGAUGAGAUGUUGAAGAAUGCUAUUGAACUCCAGCUGCCUAGUUACAUUGACGGUCUGGAUUUUGGCAUGACCCCUUCCCGUUCCCCAAUCUCAGGAACUCCUUAUCAUGAAGGGAUGAUGUCUCCUAAUUAUUUGUUGAGCCCAAAUCUCCGCCUGUCACCUAUCAGCGACGCUCAAUUUUCACCCUAUGUAGGAGGCAUGGCAUUCUCUCCUACGUCAUCUCCAGGCUAUAGCCCAUCAUCUCCGGGCUACAGUCCAUCAUCCCCUGGCUAUAGUCCCACAUCUCCUGGUUAUAGUCCUACUUCUCCAGGGUACAGCCCUACCUCUCCAGGCUACAGUCCUACAUCUCCAACUUACAGUCCUAGUUCGCCGGGCUAUAGCCCAACUAGUCCUGCAUAUUCUCCUACAAGUCCAUCUUAUUCACCCACCUCUCCCAGUUACAGCCCAACCUCUCCAAGUUACAGCCCCACCUCUCCUAGUUACAGCCCCACAUCACCAAGUUACAGCCCCACUUCCCCAAGUUACAGCCCCACUUCGCCUGCUUACAGCCCCACUUCACCUGCUUACAGUCCCACUUCACCUGCAUACAGCCCAACUUCACCCUCCUACAGCCCAACUUCGCCCUCCUACAGCCCAACUUCACCCUCCUACAGCCCAACAUCACCCUCCUACAGCCCAACAUCACCGUCUUACAGUCCCACAUCACCUUCGUACAGCCCCACCUCUCCAGCAUAUAGCCCCACCUCCCCUGGCUAUAGUCCCACGUCACCGAGCUAUAGCCCCACUUCUCCUAGCUAUAGUCCAACCUCACCUAGUUAUAAUCCUCAAUCAGCUAAAUACAGCCCAUCACAGGCGUACUUACCCAGUAGUCCACGGUUGUCUCCUUCAAGUCCAUAUAGCCCAACCUCGCCCAAUUACAGCCCAACAUCACCAUCAUAUUCACCUACUUCUCCAGCAUAUUCUCCAUCCAGCCCAACCUACAGUCCUAGCAGUCCAUAUAAUACAGGACCCAGCCCAGACUACAGCCCUAGUUCUCCACAGUACAGUCCAAGUGCAGGGUACUCACCUACUGCUCCUGGGUAUUCUCCAUCAUCUACUAGUCAGUACACUCCACAAACAAGUGACAAGGAUGAUAGGAGUAGAAAGGAUGAUAGGAACAAUUGAUGAUGAGGGUUCCAAAGCAAACAUCCUUGAAGGAAGAGGGUAAAGUUCUUGAAGCCCUGAUAUCACUGAUGAUGAAAAAAAAGGAGGCUAACUGGUAAUUUGUAAAUGUCAGGCCCUUGAAUUUCAAACGAGAAGAGGCUAAUAAACACCCAAAUACAGCAAGGCAGCAAGUUGCUCGGAAUGGACACAUUAUUACACCACUUGGGCUUUCGCAAGCUUGUUAAUUUCUGCUUUGAAGAAUUUGUCAAACAUAUUACAAGCAAAAACUCAUUCCCUUACAUUACAACCAUACUUUCCAUGUAAUUUUGUACUCUUGCCAAAUAGUUGAUCAUUAUUUGAAUUAUCCUGUAUUUUGUGUGUUCAUGUUGGAACUCUUCUAAAAUGUUGUUACCUUCUCAGACUAAAUGAUAAUGUCUCUCAACCAUUAACCAUAAAGUUAUAUACUAUUGUAGUCUUAUUAGAA